AUGGAGACAUUGAGAAAGUUUCUGCUGCUGUUGAUGCUGUUGGCCAGUAUACCUGUGCGACUCUGUGAUACAGAUCCUCAAGAUGUGGCUGCUCUCCAGUCUUUCAUCAGUGGAUGGCAGGACUUCCCAUCAAACUGGAAAGCAUCAAAUGAUCCAUGUGGUACACCAUGGGACGGGGUUAUGUGCGACAAGGGGCGGGUGACGUCACUGAGGCUUUCAGGCAUUAUUGACGCUCAAGGCACAUUAAGCAACAGCAUAGGCCAACUAAGUGAGCUUGUUUACCUGGAUCUCUCCUACAACAUUGGAAUUGGUGGCUCACUGCCUGAUGCUAUCGGGAAUCUCAAGAAGCUUAAAACACUGAUCUUGGCUGGCUGCAGCUUCACAGGAGGCAUCCAAGAGUUAGGAAACUUGCCGCAGCUCUUGUUCUUGGCGCUGAAUUCAAACAACUUCACAGGCGGAAUUCCUCCAUCGUUUGGUUUACUCUCAAACCUCUUUUGGCUAGACCUGGCAGAUAACCAGCUUUCUGGACCUAUUCCAAUUUCCUCAGGUGGUUCUCCAGGACUUGACCUACUUACACACACCAAACAUUUCCAUUUUAACAAGAAUCAGUUAAGUGGUAGUCUUGCUGGCCUCUUCAACUCUAGCAUGAUCCUCGAGCACAUAUUAUUUGACCACAAUCAAUUGUCUGGUCCUAUCCCGCCUGAGCUUGGUGGCAUCGCAACCCUCAAAAUCAUCCGAUUAGACAGGAACAAUUUCACAGGAGAAGUUCCAGCCAACAUCAGCAAGCUAGACAACCUAAAUCUCCUCAAUUUAGCAAACAACCAGCUGAAUGGGACAAUACCAGAUCUCAGUAGCCUGAGCAAACUAAACGUGGUGGACUUAAGCAACAAUUUGUUCGAUCCAUCAGUAGCACCGAACUGGUUCUCAACUUUACAGUCUCUUACUUCAGUACUUGUGGGGAAUCCUGUGUGCUUGGAUUCAGAUUCCUCGAGUCGCUUCUUUUGCAGCCUUCAGCAAGAGGGCCUGAUAUCAUACAGCACCAAUAUAACCCAAUGUGGUUCAACCACAUGUUCCGGUGAUCAAAGUCUAGACCCUGCAACUUGCAGUUGUGCCUAUCCUUACACAGGCAAGAUGAUCUUCAGAGCGCCAUUGUUCGCUGACCCGAGUGACAGAACGACUUUUCAGCAACUGGAAACUAGUCUCUGGAAAGAGCUGGGACUGCACCCUGGUGCAGUUUUCCUUUCUGAUAUCUAUUUCAGCAGUGAUGACUACCUCCAAGUCCAAGUGAGCCUCUUUCCAUCAACAGGGACAUCUUUUGCUACGUCAGAACUGAUAAGGAUUGGCUUUGCUUUUAGCAACCAAACUUAUAAGCCACCAAAUAUUUUUGGACCUUAUUACUUCAUUGGAGAUACAUAUGUCUCAUUUUCAGGUGGUGCUGGCAGUGGGAAAUCUCAAAUGAGCAAACGUGCUAUAGCUGGAACUGCAGUAGGCUGCAGUUUUCUUCUGCUUGCCCUAAUGUCCGGGGCGACAUUUGCUAUACUGAAAAAGAGAAGGCCAGAACAAUCAUCAGGACGAGCAAAUCCAUUCGCUUCAUGGGGAGUUGCUCAAAAAGAUAGUGGAGGUGCUCCACAGCUCAAAGGAGCCAGGUUCUUCUCUUUUGAUGAACUGAAGAACUGCACCAACAAUUUCUCAGAAAAUCAUGAAAUAGGAUCAGGAGGCUACGGAAAGGUUUACAAGGGAACGAUUGAAGAUGGAACAGGUGUUGCAAUAAAAAGAGCGGAGUAUGGAUCAAAGCAAGGUGCGGUGGAGUUCAAGAAUGAGAUUGAACUGCUGUCCAGGGUUCAUCACAGGAACCUAGUAAGCCUGAUAGGAUUUUGCUAUGAACAAGGGGAGCAGAUGCUGGUGUACGAAUAUGUUUCUAAUGGUACAUUGCGAGAGAACUUGCAAGCAAGGGGAAUUUACCUGGACUGGAAGAAGAGGCUCAGGAUUGCUCUUGGCUCAGCUAGAGGACUAGCGUAUCUUCACGAACUUGCUGAUCCACCUAUUAUCCACAGAGAUAUCAAGUCCACAAAUAUCCUUUUGGAUGACAAUCUUAAAGCAAAGGUUGCUGAUUUUGGUCUGUCGAAGCUAGUUGCGGAUACCGAAAAGGGACACGUUUCUACUCAAGUCAAGGGAACACUUGGCUAUCUGGACCCCGAGUACUACAUGACGCAGCAGCUAUCGGAGAAGAGCGACGUCUACAGCUUCGGUGUCGUCAUGCUUGAGCUACUAAGCGCCAGGUUGCCCAUAACAAAGGGCAGAUACAUCGUCCGGGAGUUCAGGAUUGCCAUAGAUCCCAACGAGCACGACUACUACGGCUUGCAGGGCAUCAUCGACCCGGCCAUCCACGACGCCGCCAAGUCCGCCGGGUUCAGAAGGUUCGUGCAGCUGGCCAUGGAGUGUGUGGAGGAGUCGGCUUCAAAACGGCCCACGAUGAGCUCGGUGGUGAAGGAAAUCGAGACGAUGCUCCACAAUGAGGGCCUGAGCUCAUCCGGCUCGUCUGUCACGGAGUUCGAGCACGCAGGGCAAGCCACCGGAGGCCCAUACGGCGGUGCGGUGGUUGUGACCGGAUCGAGCAGCAGCAGCAGCAUCAUAUCGGAAGAACCAUCCCGGUCCCACCGUGGAACUCGGCACUAA
rnacentral:rRNA from 1 species